GAAGGUAUAGCUCAGGGGGAGAGUGUGUGCCUAGCAUAUGCGAGGUCCUGGGUUCAAUUCCUAGUACCUCCA
rnacentral:tRNA from 1 species